AAAUUAAAGUAAUGUCCGAGUUAUUCUUUCAUGUGUUGUUAAUUUGGGAUGAAAACUACAACAACUUGAUGUCAAGAUUACAUUUCUGCAUGGUGAA